rnacentral:tRNA from 1 species
GGGCCCAUAGCUCAGUUGGGAGAGCGUUCGGUUCGCAUCCGAAAGGUCGAGGGUUCAAGUCCCUUUGGGUCCA